GAUGAACGCUGGCGGCGUGCUUAACACAUGCAAGUCGAACGAGAAAUGUAGACGGAAACCUUCGGGCGGAAGCCUUCAUUUCGAGUGGCGGACGGGUGAGUAACGCGUGGGUAACCUGCCUCAUACAGGGGGAUAACAGUUGGAAACGACUGUUAAUACCGCAUAAGACCACAGCAUCGCAUGAUGCGGGGGUAAAAACUCCGGUGGUAUGAGAUGGACCCGCGUUCGAUUAGCCAGUUGGCGGGGUAACGGCCCACCAAAGCGACGAUCGAUAGCCGAUCUGAGAGGAUGACCGGCCACAGUGGGACUGAGACACGGCCCAAACUCCUACGGGAGGCAGCAGUGGGGAAUAUUGCACAAUGGGGGAAACCCUGAUGCAGCGACGCCGCGUGAGUGAAGAAGUACUUCGGUAUGUAAAGCUCUAUCAGCAGGGAAGAAAAUGACGGUACCUGAGGAAGAAGCCCCGGCUAACUACGUG
rnacentral:rRNA from 1 species